GACGAACCGUGCGAACGUUGUUCGGAUUCACUGGGCUUAAAGGGCGCGUAGGCGGGUAAGCAAGUCAGGGGUGAAAGCUUUCGGCUUAACCGGAAAAGAGCCCCUGAUACUGCUAAUCUGGAGUGAGGUAGGGGCAUGUGGAACAUUGGGUGGAGCGGUGAAAUGCGUAGAUAUCCAAUGGAACGCCGGUGGCGAAAGUGGCGUGCUGGACCUCUAUUGACUCUGAGGCGCGAAAGCCAGGGGAGCAAACGGG
rnacentral:rRNA from 1 species